rnacentral:rRNA from 1 species
ACGCAAUAGAUACCCCGGUAGUCCACGCCGUAAACGAUGGUCACUAGGUGUGUGCGGUAUCGACCCCGCACGUGCCGGCGCUAAACGCACUAAGUGACCCGCCUGGGGAGUACGGCCGCAAGGUUGAAACUCAAAAGGAAUUGAACGGGGGCCCGCGACAAGCUGUGGAGCAUGUGGAUUAAUACGUCACUAACCGUAGAACCUUACCCAGGCUUGACAUCUGCGGAACUCCCUUGUAAAGGGGGAGGUGCCUCGCAAGAGGAGCCGCAAGACAGGUGUUGCAUGGCUGUCGUCAGCUCGUGUCGUGAGAUGUUGGGUUAAAGUCCCGCAACGAGCGCAACCCUCACCGUAUGUUGCCAGCGUAAAGUCGGGCACUCUUACGGAACUGCCCGGGUAACCCGGGAGGAAGGUGAGGAUGACGUCAAGUCAGCAUGGCCCGUUACGCCUGGGGGCUUCACACAUGCUACAAAUGGCUGGUACAAAGGGUUCCAAGACCGUGAGUGAGGCAAUCCCAAAAAGCCAGUCUCAGUUCGGAUCGCAGGCUGCAAC